GACGAACGCUGGCGGCGUGCUUAACACAUGCAAGUCGAACGGAAAGGCCCUGCUUUUGUGGGGUGUUCGAGUGGCGAGAGGGUGUGUAACCCGUGAGUAACCUGCCUUUGACUUUAGGAUAACUUCAGGCAACUGCGGCUAAUACCGGCUAGGAGCUCCUGCUGCAUGGUGGGGGUUGGAACGUUUCGUCGGUUGUGGAUCGACUCGCGGCUAAUCAGCUUGUUGGUUGGGUAGUGGCUUACGAGGGCAUUGAUUGGUAACCGGCCUGAGAGGGGAACCAGCGACAAAGGGACUGAGAUACGGCACAGACUGCUACGGUGGGCAGCAGUGGCGAAUAUUACACAAUGAGCCGAAGCGUGAGGCAAAAACGCCGCGUGCGUGAUGACCGCCUUCGGGUGGGAAACCGCUGUCGCCUGUGACGUAGCGUGAGUGACGGUAAUAGGUAAAGAAGCACCGGCUAACUACGUG
rnacentral:rRNA from 1 species